rnacentral:rRNA from 1 species
UACGGAGGGGACUAGCGUUGUUCGGAAUUACCGGGCGUAAAGCGCACGUAGGCGGAUUUGUAAGUCAGGGGUGAAAUCCCGGGGCUCAACCUCGGAACUGCCUUUGAUACUGCAAAUCUCGAGUCCGGAAGAGGUGAGUGGAAUUCCUAGUGUAGAGGUGAAAUUCGUAGAUAUUCGCAAGAACACCAGUGGCGAAGGCGGCUCACUGGCCCGGUACUGACGCUGAGGUGCGAAAGCGUGGGGAGCAAACAGG